rnacentral:rRNA from 1 species
GAUGAACGCUAGCUACAGGCUUAACACAUGCAAGUCGAGGGGCAGCAUGGUCUUAGCUUGCUCAGGCCGAUGGCGACCGGCGCACGGGUGAGUAACACGUAUCCAACCUGCCGUCUACUCUUGGACAGCCUUCUGAAAGGAAGAUUAAUACAAGAUGGCAUCAUGAGUUCACAUGUUCACAUGAUUAAAGGUAUUCCGGUAGACGAUGGGGAUGCGUUCCAUUAGAUAGUAGGCGGGGUAACGGCCCACCUAGUCUUCGAUGGAUAGGGGUUCUGAGAGGAAGGUCCCCCACAUUGGAACUGAGACACGGUCCAAACGCCUACGGGAGGCAGCAGUGAGGAAUAUUGGUCAAUGGGCGAGAGCCUGAACCAGCCAAGUAGCGUGAAGGAUGACUGCCCUAUGGGUUGUAAACUUCUUUUAGAAAGGAAUAAAGUCGGGUAUGUAUACCCGUUUGCAUGUACUUUAUGAAUAAGGAUCGGCUAACUCCGUG